UAGUCCACGCCGUAAACGAUGUGUGCUAGUUGUCGGGUAAAAACUCGGUGACGGAGCUAACGCAUUAAGCACACCGCCUGGGGAGUACGGUCGCAAGAUUAAAACUCAAAGGAAUUGACGGGGACCCGCACAAGCAGUGGAGCAUGUGGUUUAAUUCGAAGCAACGCGAAGAACCUUACCCACCCUUGACAUACUUGUCGCGAUGUUUAGAGAUAGACAUUUUCAGUUCGGCUGGACAAGAUACAGGUGCUGCACGGCUGUCGUCAGCUCGUGUCGUGAGAUGUUGGGUUAAGUCCUAUAACGAGCGCAACCCCUGUUGUUAGUUGCCAGCGAGUAAUGUCGGGAACUCUAGCAAGACUGCCGGUGCAAACCGCGAGGAAGGUGGGGAUGACGUCAAAUCAUCACGGCCCUUACGUCCUGGGCUACACACGUGCUACAAUGGUUGUGACAAAGAGUUGCGAAUUUGCAAAAAUCAGCUAAUCUAUAAACACAGCCUCAAUUCGGAUUGU
rnacentral:rRNA from 1 species